CCAUUGGUGUUACAGAUACUGAAGAUAAUGCAGAGCCUGUCGCAGUCUACAUUCAUCUCCAUGCCAGCCUCCUUCAUGAGGUAAUUUCUUCAGACAGCAAAAUCUUCUCAGCAUUGGUGGGCAAGCUUUCCUCUGACUGAAGUGCCGUUAAAAACAUGUAGAUCAUAGUGUGGUUGCAGUUGUCAUCAUCAUAACCAUAUGCCUCCUACAAUGGUCCAGAAAAGCU